UACGUAGGUGGCAAGCGUUGUCCGGAUUUACUGGGCGUAAAGGGCUUGUAGGCGGUUCGUUAAGUCUGGUGUGAAAUCUCCCGGCUCAACCGGGAGGGGUCAUCGGAUACUGGCGGACUAGAGACAGGUAGAGGAAAGCAGAAUUCCCGGUGUAGCGGUGAAAUGCGUAGAUAUCUGGAGGAACACCGGUGGCGAAGGCGGCAUCCUGGACCGACACUGACGCUGAGGAGCGAAAGCCAGGGGAGCAAACGGG
rnacentral:rRNA from 1 species